rnacentral:ncRNA from 1 species
AUGGUGCGAACCUCCCAUCUGAGGGAUUAUGACUGAACGCCCUCUAAGUCAGAAUCCCCGCCCUGGAAAGCGACGAUGCAUUCGUGCCUCGGCCUCGAGAGCGUAGCUAGACGGCCGCGUGUGCCGUGGAAAGAGCCCGAUUCCGACCCGAGAGGCCGCGGCAAGAGGCGGCCUCGAAGUCGGUGGAUCCUCCUGCUCGAAAGGCGGGGUGCUAAACCAUUCGCAGACGACCUAGUUGAAGAUCGGGGUGUCGUGAUCACUAGAGCAGUACAUCUCACUGCGAUUUGUUGAGAGUAAGCCUCAAGAUCUGUCGGUUUGU